CCUACGGGGGGCAGCAGUGAGGAAUAUUGGUCAAUGGGCUUACGCCUGAACCAGCCAAGUAGCGUGAGGGAAGACUGCCCUAUGGGUUGUAAACCUCUUUUGUCAGGGAGCAAUUGGAGCUACGUGUAGCGUUAUCGAGAGUAUCUGAAGAUAAGGCAUCGGCUAACUCCGUGCCAGCAGCCGCGUAAUUCCGGGGGAUGCGAGCGUUUUCCGGAUUUAUGGGGUUAAAGGGGUGCGUAGGCGGAAUGCAAAGUAGGCGGUAAAAUUGCGGGGUUAAACCUCGCACCGCCGUUGAUACUGGCGGUCUUGAGUAGGCUAGAAGUAUGCGGAAUGCGUGGUGUAGCGGUGAAAUGCAUAGAUAUCACGCAGAACUCCGAUUGCGAAGGCAGCAUAC
rnacentral:rRNA from 1 species